rnacentral:rRNA from 1 species
UACGUAGGUGGCAAGCGUUAUCCGGAUUUAUUGGGCGUAAAGGGAACGCAGGCGGUCUUUUAAGUCUGAUGUGAAAGGCGGGGGCCCAACCCCCGGACUGCUCUGGAAACUAUGUUACUAGAGUGCAGGAGAGGUAAGCGGAAUUCCUAGUGUAGCGGUGAAAUGCGUAGAUAUAUGGAGGAACACCGGUGGCGAAAGCGGCUCUCUGGCCUGUAACUGACGCUGAGGUUCGAAAGCGUGGGUAGCAAACAGG